GAUGAAGAACGCAGCGAAAUGCGAUACGUAGUGUGAAUUGCAGAAUUCAGUGAAUCAUCGAAUCUUUGAACGCACAUUGCACCUCUCGGUAUUCCGGGAGGUAUGCCUGUUCGAGCGUCAUUUGUACCCUCAAGCUCUGCUUGGUGUUGGGUGUUUGUUCCGCCUCUGUGUGUGAACUCGCCUCAAAACAAUUGGCAGCCGGCGUACUUGUUUCGGAGCGCAGCACAUUUUGCGAUCCAGAUCAACGUACAGCGGCAUCCAAGAAGCCUUAUUUAACGCUCUUGACCUCGGAUCAGGUAGGGAUACCCGCUGAACUUAAGCAUAUCAUAAGCGGAGGA
rnacentral:misc_RNA from 1 species